rnacentral:lncRNA from 1 species
UAUGAAUGGAACUAGAACUAGCGAACUACCAGCCAUUUUGAUCAUGGCAACUUCGUAAUUAAAGUAAAACAUUAGGGGUAGAACAAGAAACUCAACCAGAUCCCAUGUGAACGAAGGAUAUCGUUUUCUAUUGUGGGAUUGUGGGGACCCACACCACUCUGCCAAGAAGAGCAACUUUUUGACAUAAGCAGUUACGCUAAUCGCCAAUCGCUCUCCCAAAUCCCCAACAACAUCCGUCGUCAUCUUCCCCUCCUCCUCCCUCCAAAAAUUAACAUGUCGUG